rnacentral:lncRNA from 1 species
GCUGCAUAUAAACAGCAUGUAACGAGAGAAUCUGAGUCGUCAGCUUACAUGUGCAGCCUGGGCAUGCAUUAAAUGUGUCUUGUGUCCAAGUUAUAGCCACAACUGAAAUACCUUUAGGGAGGCUGAAAAAUGUGGAUGAAGAGAGGGAAAGUGGAAGAAUAAAAGAGAAAGCCCUGUCUCCCCCACUGACACUCACGCUGAUGGUCUUGGCUGGGGAACAGAUACUGUUGGCAGAGAUCUGAGAGGAACUCACAGUGGUA